rnacentral:rRNA from 1 species
AUUGAACGCUGGCAGCAGGCCUAACACAUGCAAGUCGAACGGUAACAGGAAACAGCUUGCUGUUUCGCUGACGAGUGGCGGACGGGUGAGUAAUGUCUGGGAAACUGCCUGAUGGAGGGGGAUAACUACUGGAAACGGUAGCUAAUACCGCAUAACGUCGCAAGACCAAAGAGGGGGACCUUCGGGCCUCUUGCCAUCGGAUGUGCCCAGAUGGGAUUAGCUAGUAGGUGGGGUAACGGCUCACCUAGGCGACGAUCCCUAGCUGGUCUGAGAGGAUGACCAGCCACACUGGAACUGAGACACGGUCCAGACUCCUACGGGAGGCAGCAGUGGGGAAUAUUGCACAAUGGGCGCAAGCCUGAUGCAGCCAUGCCGCGUGUAUGAAGAAGGCCUUCGGGUUGUAAAGUACUUUCAGCGGGGAUGAAGGGAGUAAAGUUAAUACCUUUGCUCAUUGACGUUACCCGCAGAAGAAGCACCGGCUAACUCCGUG